rnacentral:rRNA from 1 species
AAUCGGACCAGCCGAUGGAUUUGAUUGUAAGAACUAGAACAGCGUGGGAAAGCUGACCGAAGAUGGUGAUAGUCCAGUAUAGGUAGAAAGCAAUUAAGUUCUUGAGUAGGGCGGAGCACGAGAAAUUCUGUCUGAAAAUGGGGAGACCACUCUCCAAGGCUAAGUACUACUGAGUGACCGAUAGUGAACAAGUACCGUGAGGGAAAGGUGAAAAGCACCCCUAUAAGGGGAGUGAAAAAGAACCUGAAACCGGAUGCCUACAAGCAGUCGGAGGAGCAUUAGGCUCUGACGGCGUACCUUUUGUAUAAUGGGUCAGCGACUUAAUUUAUGUAGCAAGCUUAAGCCGAUAGGUGUAGGCGCAGCGAAAGCGAGUGUUAAUAGCGCGUUAAGUUACAUGGAUUAGACCCGAAACCGAGUGAUCUAGCCAUGAUCAGGUUGAAGGUUGGGUAACACCAACUGGAGGACCGAACCCACUCCCGUUGAAAAGGUAGGGGAUGAAUUGUGGCUAGGGGUGAAAGGCCAAUCAAACUCGGAAAUAGCUGGUUCUCCGCGAAAACUAUUUAGGUAGUGCGGCAAGCGGACACGUUGAGGGGUAGAGCACUGAAAGAGCUAAGGGGGAGCGAUCCUUACUAAACUUUAUCAAACUCCGAAUACUCAACAGUGAUACUUGCCAGACAGACUGUAGGUGCUAAGGUCUACGGUCGAGAGGGAAAGAGCCCAGACCGCCAAUUAAGGUCCCAAAAUUAUGGCUAAGUGGUAAAGGAAGUGAAUUGUCCAAAACAGUCAGGAGGUUGGCUUAGAAGCAGCCAUCCUUUAAAGAAAGCGUAAUAGCUCACUGAUCUAAACAAGACGAUUUGCGCCGAAGAUGUAACGGGGCUAAAGCCAUAUACCGAAGUUGCGGAAUUGCACGUAAGUGCAAUUGGUAGCGGAGCGUUCUGUAAGCCUGCGAAGGUGUUCCGUAAGGAAUGCUGGAGGUAUCAGAAGUGAGAAUGCUGACAUGAGUAGCGAAAAGAAGUGUGAGAGACACUUCCGCUGAAAGUCCAAGGUUUCCUGCGUAAAGCUAAUCUGCGCAGGGUUAGUCGGCCCCUAAGGCGAGGCAGAGAUGCGUAGUCGAUGGGAAUCAGGUUAAUAUUCCUGAACCAACUAGGAAGUGACGGAUUCAGUAAAUUGUAUGUCCUUAUUGGAUUGGAUGUGCAGUGAAUGAGUCCCGGGAAAUAGCCCUAGUAUAGACCGUACCCGAAACCGACACAGGUGGACAGGUAGAGAAUACCAAAGCGCUUGAGAGAACUAUGUUGAAGGAACUAGGCAAAAUACUUGCGUAACUUCGGGAUAAGCAAGCCCCAUUUCUGGGCAACCAGAGGUGGGGGGCACAUACUAGGGGGUAGCGACUGUUUACUAAAAACACAGGGCUCUGCUAAAUUGAAAGAUGAAGUAUAGGGUCUGACGCCUGCCCGGUGCUGGAAGGUUAAGGAGAGAUGUGCAAGCAUUGAACUGAAGCCCCAGUAAACGGCGGCCGUAACUAUAACGGUCCUAAGGUAGCGAAAUUCCUUGUCGGGUAAGUUCCGACCUGCACGAAUGGCGUAACGACUUCCCCGCUGUCUCCAACAUAGACUCAGCGAAAUUGAAUUCUGAGUUAAGAUGCUCAGUACCCGCGGUUAGACGGAAAGACCCCGUGAACCUUUACUAUAGCUUUGCAGUGGUAUUAGGUGACAAAUGUGUAGGAUAGGUGGGAUGCUAUGAAGUUAUGACGCUAGUUGUAAUGGAGCAGACGUUGAAAUACCACCCUUUUGUUAUUUGAUAUCUAACCUGCUUCCGUUAUCCGGAAGAGGGACCCUGCAUGGUGGGUAGUUUGACUGGGGCGGUCGCCUCCCAAAGAGUAACGGAGGCGCGCAAAGGUUGGCUCAGAUUGGUCGGAAAUCAAUCGUUGAGUGCAAUGGCAUAAGCCAGCCUGACUGCGAGAGCGACAGUUCGAGCAGAGACGAAAGUCGGUCAUAGUGAUCCGGUGGUCCCGAGUGGAAGGGCCAUCGCUCAACGGAUAAAAGGUACUCCGGGGAUAACAGGCUGAUUCCGCCCAAGAGUUCACAUCGACGGCGGAGUUUGGCACCUCGAUGUCGGCUCAUCACAUCCUGGGGCUGGAGAAGGUCCCAAGGGUUCGGCUGUUC